rnacentral:rRNA from 1 species
AUUGAACGCUGGCGGCAGGCCUAACACAUGCAAGUCGAGCGAACGGCGGACGGGUGAGUAAUGCCUGGGAAUUGCCCAGUCGAGGGUGAUAACAGUUGGAAACGACUGCUAAUACCUCAUACGAUUGUAUUUCCCAGGGGUGGUUAGCUAGUGGGUGAGGUAAUGGCUCACACAGGCGACGAUCCCUAGCUGGUCUGAGAGGUUGAUCAGCCACACUGGAACUGAGACACGGUCCAGACUCCUACGGGAGGCAGCAGUGGGGAAUAUUGCACAAUGGGGGAAACCCUGAUGCAGCCAUGCCGCGUGUGUGAAGAAGGCCUUCGGGUUGUAAAGCACUUUCAGCGAGGAGGCGUUACUCGCAGAAGAAGCAACGGCUAACUCCGUGCCAGCAGCCGCGGUAAUUC